ensembl:lncRNA
CACACUACACAUCUACUAAAAUAGCAAAAUAAAAUAAAAACAAAAAGUAACUAGCAGUACAAGUACUGGCACAGAUACAAAACAACCAGAACUGUCAGGUUGCUGGUAGGAAUGCAAAAUGUUACACUUUGGAACACAGUUUAGCAGUUUCUUACAAAGCUAAAUACAUACUUACCAUUUAACCCAGCAAUCCCAUUCCUAGGUACUUACCCAAGAGAACUAAAAACUUACGUUUACCCAAAAACCGGUAAGUCAAAGCUAAUAAUGGCUUUAUUCAUAACAGCCCCAAACUGGAAACAACCCAAAUGUCAUUCAGCUCGAGAAUGGAUAAGCACUGUGGUACAUCUCUACAAUGGAAUACCCCUCAGCAAAAAAAGGAAUGCACUAAUCAUAAAUGUACAGCAUGGUUGAACUGCAAAUGCAUUAUGCUAAGUAGGCAGUACCUGGGCAUCCCAAAAAAUUUUUCUCCCAUAUGUGAAUGGCUUAAUGGAAAAUAAAGAAAACAACAUAGAAACAAGAUUAUUCUGUGAAAUAGUUUUAAUGACAGUGACCCACUUCAUUAGCUAGUACACAAGUUCAGCAGCUGUAACUGAGACUCCAAGUAACAGUCUUACACAAAUUAGAAGUCUAUUUCUCUGCCAUGUGAUGGGCCUGCUGUAGGGAGUCCUGGACUAGGGUGCUGUCAGCAACACAGGCUCCUUUAACGUUCUGUUCUGGACUCCCGAAGGCAGUGAUUCACAAACUCUGCUUCACAGUGGAAUCACUUGGAAAUUUUUAAAAACACUCAUGUCUUGGCUCCCACCCCCAGACAUUCUUAUUUGAUUGGCCCACAGCAUAACCUGGGCAUUGGGAUUUUUAAAAGCUUCCUGGGUAAUUCUAACGUGCAGCAAAGUUUGGGAAUUAUUGUCUUAAAGAAUUGCUUGCAUCCACACGGUCCAAGACGGUUUAUGACCACAUCUGCAUCCCAAACAGGAGGAAAGAGGAUGGAGGCAUGAACCAGAAGUGCCAACGUCAUUUCUGCUCACAGCUCACUGGUCAACCACAUGGUCAUACCUGGUUGCACGAGAUGCUGAAAAAGGUAAUUUUUAUUUUAGUCAGCCAUGUGCCCAACUAAGAAUAGUUUUAUUAAAAGAAGAGGAGGAGGACAGAUAUUGGGAGAUAACCAACAAUCUCUCCCACCACUCCCUCCCUUUUUCGUUCAAACAGAAACAGUCCAAUCUGGCAAAAGCGCCAAAUCCUUAGAUUUGAAGAAAAACUCCUAACGGUCUCUUUGACUUGGUCAGGUAUCUUCCAACCACAUGCAGACUGAGCCAGAGAUUGUAACCCAUCAUCAUCAGAGGGAGGAAGGUCCAAGCUUGGUGACAUAUGUAUCAGAAUGGCUACCUCAGAAAAUUCCUGUGUUUUCACUUGAGUGGUGUGCCGGAGGAGUAAACUGUUCUGUUGGCCAAAGGCAGGCAGGGACAUCAAAACUCCAUGAACCCCACCCAGCUGACUGAUACAGUGAAGAGUUCUCAGCGCAACAUAGAGAAACUUCAAAGGAAGGGGUCUUCCUCUAAAAUCUGCCAAAUAUGUUGUGCCUGAAAUCUUAUUUUUGUUAAACUACUUGUUGAGGCUCUUCAUUCUAGUUUUGCUUGGUUUUGCCUUUGCACUCAAGCCUUGUUUUCCAGAAGAAAUGCAGGCACAAUCAAAUUGUAAUUUCAUCAUCAUGCAUCUUGGAUGCUGCACAGUGCCUAAGGAAAUUCCGAUUGAAAGGGGACAGCCACAUGAUAUUUCUCUUUUCUUUUGCUCUCCUUUGUGUACCACAGAGGAUACUUAGGCUAGAGACUUGGACCUCAAGACAAAUUUUCUCUGGAAAAAUUAAAAGCAAGCAGUUAGAAGUCUUGCAUACAGAAGGGUCAAAACUGAAAGAAAAACAGACAUCUGAUGCCAAAGAGUUUUUUGUUGUUGGUUUUGUUUUUUGGUUUUUUUUUUUUUUUUUUGAGGAAGAUUAGCCCUGACCUAACAUCUGCUGCCAAUCCUGCUAAGAAAGACUGGCCCUGAGCUAACAUCUGUGCCCAUCCUCCUCUACUUUAUAUGUGGGACGCCUACCACAGCAUGGUGUGCCAAGCAGUGCCAUGUCCACACCUGGGAUCCGAACUGGCGAACCCUGGGCUGCCAAAGCAGAACGUGUGCACUCAACCGCUGUGCCACUGGGCAGCCCCCACAAAGAGCUUUGUACUCACAAAAUGCCAGAGCAAAAACAGGAGUAGCAUAUAUUUCCCAUAAUAUUUAUAAUCAUAAGAAAAGAUCCAAGGUGAGUUUUCUACUUAAGCCUGAAAAAUACCAGUACUAGCUUAAGCAGGGAAUUGAUAAUAGUUGAAGUUUAGUGAAAAUGGCCAAAUUGUAUGCUGGAGUUUACAGAAGUAUCGGUUGUAAUUUCCAAAAAAUUUCCUUAAAAGUGAGGGGAUGCUAAAAGGACAAUAAUUAGUUAAAGAAUACAUAAAAUAAAAAGCUGUAAAAGCUGACAUCAAAAAUAUAAAACAUGGGAGGAAGGAAGUAAAAAUGUAAAGCUUUGGAAUGUGUUCAAAUUUAAGUUGCUAUCAACUUAAAACAGACCAAUAUAUACACAGGAUGUUAUAUGUCAACCUCACAGUAACCACAAAG